CUUUCUUUUUCUUCCCAAAUUUCCCCUCGCUUGGUCGCUCCUCCAUCACACUCUCUCUCCCACUCUCGAUACCCACGACUUGACAAUACCCUAUCGCCUCUCCUCACAUUGCUUACCACAGUGGAGAAGAGAGGAGACACUGUCGAUGGCGCCAUCAUCAUCUUCGUCUCUUUGCCUUCCAUCGCCUUCUCUCUCGGUCCAACCCCGAAAUCGCCGUUCCUUUCGCUCGCCCCCUACUUCGCGGUUCCCCAGAUGCGGACCGUCCGUACGUCCUCACCGCCUCUCUUCUUCUUCUUCUUCUUCCGAGCUUUCGAGGACGGUGAGGCUCAGAUGCACUUCGCAAAGGGAGCGAACUCGAACUCGAAGUCGAGCAGCUGUUCUCGAAUCUCAACCGGGCCACUCUCAAGCGGGAACCUGGUACGGUAUCCUCCGACCUCGCGCGACUCGCGCGUUUCUUAGCGGCUGUGUUUUCCGAUGUUGCUUUUUACUAGUGUGACGGCGUUAGUGUUCUUGUUUUGUUGUUUUCAGGAAGUUUGUCCAGUGCGGUUUUUCUAGUGGCAGGCACUAUGGUAAGGAUUCGAUUACCGAUUUGUGUGCGAUUUCUGCAGGGACUGGCCUAAGUUAGCGUCGCGUUGCGUGCAGAGUGAAUUUCAUACAUAGGUUAUGUUCAAUUUUGUCUGGAUCACAGACUCUCUGAUAUUCUGAUCUCUUACUGCCCAGUGCAAAUUCUGGGCAUGACAAAUUGCUUGUUAAGUCUGGUUGUAUUUGUCGAGAAAUUCUAGUGGCUCAUUUUUGCUGUGAUGUUCGCUUUAAUGAUUCGAAGUUUGAUACGUAGCAGCUGGGAUUCUCACCAUACCUGCCGUGACACGAGAAUCUGGAUUCAUAGCUUCCGCAAUUACCAGUGUUUUUUGUUGGAUCUUCAUGGUUGCAACAGGGUUGCUCAUUGCUGAAGUCAAUGUGAACACAAAGUGUGAACUGGGUUCUGGUGGUGUAUUGCUGGUAUCAAUGGCCAUGAGAACUAUAGGGAAGUUUGGAGUGCAAGUCGCUUGGUAAAGAAUUUCUUUGGCUACUCUUUCGGUGAGAGUGCUGUCUUAUUAUGAUUUCACCUUGAGUUAUGUAUUAGCAAGUGAAGUCAAUGUGUUUAAGAUGAUCUUGGUAUACAAAGUGUUUGAUACUAACAUAAAAUCCGCCCGCCAUUGUUAGUUGUCUCUAUAUUAAUAAAACAGUACCACAACAAAAUGGUUAUGGGCCAGGAAGGAUUUCUUUUAUUGGUCUUUGUAAACGUUUUAUGUAUGUGGCACUAUUCAUGUUUUUGUAAUGAGCUCAGAUAGGGGAUUAUCUAUUGGGCCAUCACACCAUUACAUUCUGUUGUUUUAGGAGGUUUAUUUCUAAUAAUGCUACUAUUGUUUUUAAAACGUUAUCAUCACUAGUUUGUAAACUCGACUGGGUACAAACUCUGAAAUUAAGAGGGCAUCAAGUGAUGAUAGACCAUGUGAUUUUAGC